GUUGCGAUAUAUAAACCAUAGUCUGCGUUUAUAUAGCCUAAUCCCUUCUGCGCUCUCUCUCUCUCUCUCUCUCUCUCUCUGACAAACCCUAGAUCUCUGUAGAACAUGUCUGGUAUGUACGGACAAGAAGCCGGCGAGUCCGGCCCCCCUCCGCACUACGGAGCUACCGGCGGUGCUGGAGGAUACGAUGGGGGAGGCUAUGGCGGUAGUGGCGGAGGAUAUGGUGGAAGUGGCGGCUCUGGUGGAUACGGUGGGGGCGGUGCUGGUGGUGGUGCGGGAGGCUAUGGAGGAGGAAAUAGCGACGGUGGUUAUGGCGGCCGUGGCGGCCGAGGGGGUGGAGGCGGAUAUGGUGGUCGAGGCUAUCCUGGAGGAGAUCGUGGUGGCCGAGGCGGUGGAGGUGGUGGCCGAGGAGGAGGAGGUGGUGGUGGUGGACGUGGUGGGAGUGGCAGAGACGGAGAUUGGCUUUGCCCUAAUCCAGGAUGUGGGAACUUGAACUUUGCCAGAAGAACUGAAUGUAACAAAUGCGGUGCACCAUCACCUGCGGGUGCAGGUGAUCGUGGGGGUAGCGGAGGCGGUUACAAUAGAGGUGGAAGUGGUGGUGGAUAUGGUGGUAGUCGAGGUGGUAAUUAUGGUGGUAGAAGCAGUGAAUAUAAUGGAGGUAGAGGCGGUAAUAAUGAUGGUAGAGGUGGGGGAGGCAAUAGGGGUGGUUCAUAUGGAAAAGAAGAAGGUGUAUAUGGUCAGGCUCCUUCAGCAGCACCACAACCUUUUUAUGGUGGGGCUGGUGGCAACCAGCCGCCACCUUACAAUUCAUAUGGUGAGAACGCAAAUUAUGGAAUGGAUGCUGUUCCUCCGCCUACAAACUAUGCUGGAGGGCCUACAUCGUAUGCACCAUCUUAUGGCGGCCCUCCUGUGGGUGGUUAUGGUGGUGAUGGUCCUGGAAAUGUAAGAGGUGGCAGCCGUGGUGGCGCACCCGGUGGAUACGAUAGUGGACGUGGUGCUGGUGGUCGAGGUGGAUAUGGUGGUGCUCCUGCUGAGGCCCCUGCUGCUAAGGUGAAGCAGUGUGACGAGAAUUGUGACGAUACUUGUGACAAUGCAAGAAUCUACAUAUCAAAUUUGCCACCAGACGUGACGACUGAAGAACUAAGGGAGCUCUUCGGAGGCAUUGGACAAGUUGGAAGAAUCAAGCAAAAACGGGGAUAUAAGGAUCAAUGGCCCUGGAAUAUAAAAAUAUAUACAGAUGAGACGGGAAAUAACAAAGGUGAUGCAUGUUUGGCCUUUGAAGAUCCAUCCGCUGCACAUUCAGCUGGAGGCUUUUUCAACGAUUACGAUAUGAGGGGAUAUAAAAUCAAUGUUGUGAUGGCAGAGAAGUCUGCACCAAAAGCUCCACCUAGCUUUGACCACCGGGGUGGAGGUAGAGGUGGAUAUGGAGGAGAUAGGCGCAGGGAUAAUUAUAGAGACGGAUCUGGACCUGACAGACAUCAGCAUGGUGGGAAUCGAUCGCGUCCUUAUUAAGGAACCUCAGCAUAAAGCAUGUUUUGUAACUAUGAAUUAUGGUCUGAGAUUUUAUUGUGUUCCUAUGGCGGGAUACUUGAACUGGAGACUAAGAGAGGCAAGUGGAUAAUCUCCAAAUUGCUUGCUGCUAAGUUUGUGUUUUGCGUCCAUGUUCUAGGCAGUGUCUGGAAUAAUCUCCUUGAAAAGGUUGGAUGGUUUAUAGCAUGACAGAGUGGCCUUGAUGAAAUUUUGACCGUUUAUGGAAGCGUUAGUGGGUUCGUCUUGAUUGUAGUUCGCCCGUCAGAUUCUAGUUUUUAUGCUUGUUAUGUGCCUCGAGUGUCUUACACCGAACCUAUUGACAUCUUCAACUGUCCAAUGAUUUGCCUUGUCUUUAUAUAAACGUGUGAAUCCAUGAGAUUACACUGAACCUAAUGACAUCUUCAACUGUUCAAUGAUUUGUCGUGCUCUUGAGGAUUUGUUGUGCGCUUGAGGGUUUAUGUUUUGAUUGUCAGUUUGUCUGAACACAGAAUGUCAAUAUUUAGGGAUGUAGUUGGUAUGCCCUUUUAAGUUAUUGGUGAGGCUGCAGAUCUUGAUGCACCUCUCGAGUGGGGCUUUGGAGCUGUAAACUUAGAGAUAUUCUGGAUUACCUGACAACGUUUUGGUGGAUGGGGUGGUGUAUCUGAGGUCUACUCUCCCAAUGGUAGGCCAAAGGAUCAAUCUUUGGCUCUAUUUGUGCA